rnacentral:lncRNA from 1 species
AAAUCAAUCACGACCCUUUCAUGUGAAAUCUUUAAUGUUGUGAACCCUUAAAAGGGACAGAAAUUGUGCACUCGGGGAGCUCGGAUUUUAAGGCAGUAGCUUGCCGAUGCUCCCAGCUGAAUAAAGCCCUUCCUUCUACAACUCGGGGUCUGAGAGGUUUUGUCUGCGGCUCAUCCUGCUACAAGCCUGCACUAGGCAACGCUGAAGCCACAGAAGACACCGCAGUGGGAAAACCAGCAUAAGCCGCUGCCCCCAAGGAACCUCAAAGCCCAGGCAGAGGACCAGCCAUCCCAGUCGCACAGAUGGUGUUGGAACCGAAUUGGAGGACACCUGGAUGGUGUCCACUGCUUGGUGUUUGGGGGAAAACCCCCCACACAUUUGGUCACAGAAGUCUUCUGUGUUGAUGAUUUUUUGUGGUGUGACAGCAGAGGGAAGACACAGUUUGAGGUGGGAUUUAUCCUCUUUAAGACAACUUCCUGACCUCGGACACAUAGAAGGCUGCUGAAGGCAAUGGUGGAUCCUUUCAUUUCAAACAAAAUCACAUUCAAUUUUUUUGAGAGCUGCAGGCCUGGGUGGUGUUAAAUUGUGUCAUUUAGUAUUAAAGAAACACGAUAAAACUUUCAAAGACUGAUCAUGUGUCUUGGCUGUUUACUGUGGAAAGCUUAAAAGGAAGAGCUUCCAGAGAUCCUGAUCAAGAUGACCAAAUAGGAACAGCUCUGGUCUGCAGUUCCCAGCAAGAUGGACACAGAAGGCAGGUGAUUUCUGCAUUUCCAACUGAGGUACCUGGUUCAUCUCAUUGGGACUGGUUAGACAGUGGGUGCAGCCCACGGAGGGCGAGCUGAAGCAGGGUGGGGCGUCGCCUCACCUGGGAAGCACAAGGGGUCAGGGAAUUUUCUCCCCUACCCAAGGGAAGUUGUGAGGGACCAAGCCUGAGGAACCGGGGUCCAGAUACUGUGCUUGUCCCAUG